rnacentral:rRNA from 1 species
AUUGAACGCUGGCGGCAUGCCUUACACAUGCAAGUCGAACGGCAACAGGGAGCUUGCUCCGCUGACGAGUGGCGAACGGGUGAGUAAUGCGUCGGAACGUGCCGAGUAGUGGGGGAUAACGCAUCGAAAGGUGUGCUAAUACCGCAUACGUACUGAGGUAGAAAGUGGGGGACCUUCGGGCCUCACGCUAUUCGAGCGGCCGACGUCUGAUUAGCUAGUUGGUGAGGUAAAGGCUCACCAAGGCGACGAUCAGUAGCGGGUCUGAGAGGAUGAUCCGCCACACUGGGACUGAGACACGGCCCAGACUCCUACGGGAGGCAGCAGUGGGGAAUUUUGGACAAUGGGCGCAAGCCUGAUCCAGCCAUGCCGCGUGUCUGAAGAAGGCCUUCGGGUUGUAAAGGACUUUUGUCCGGGAGCAAAUGCUGGUGGCUAACAUCCACCGGAGCUGAGAGUACCGGAAGAAUAAGCACCGGCUAACUACGUGCCAGCAGCCGCGGUAAGAC